GGCCGACUAGCUCAGUUGGUUAGAGCGUCGUGCUAAUAAUACUUCAGCUAUUGUUACGCGAAGGUCUUGGGUUCGAUCCCCACGUUGGCCA
rfam:Gymnopus luxurians FD-317 M1 unplaced genomic scaffold GYMLTscaffold_17, whole genome shotgun sequence.